UAGAAGGUUUAAUAUACAUUUGGUUAAUCUUAAGUAAUUAUCAGAAAUAAAAAAUCAACUUCGCAUUGCUUUAUUAAAAAAAGCAAAACGCGAUUAAAUAAAUCAUAAGCAUAUUUAAAUAUGCGUCCGCAUUGUGCGCAAUAGACUAUUUACCCGGAAUACAACUUCCUUUCUGAAAAAGUGUAAUGUACUAAAGGCCUAUGUGUGUGCAUCGAGCCUCAAACCAUUUUCGUCAGUCUGGGUCAGCUGGACGUCAGUGUAAACAAUGGUCGCCAUCGCGGAACAGCAAUUAAUCAUCGUAAACAAUGGUCCCCAUCGCGGAACAGCAAGAAAGCAGCGAAAACCAUGGACGUUAUUGCGGAAGAGCAAGAAAGCUACCGAAAACUAUGGUCGUAAUCGCGAAAUAGCAAGAAAGCAGCGUAAACCAUGUUCAGUAUCGCGGAACAGCAAGAAAGCAGCGUAAACCAUGGUCGUUAUCGCGGAACAACAAGAUAGCUACCGAAAAUCAUGUUCGCCAUCGCAGAACAGCAAGACAGCAGCGUAAACCAUGGUCGUUAUCGCGGGUCAGCAAAUAAGCUUUCGAAAACCAUGGUAGUUAUCGCGGAACAGCAAGACAGCAGCGUAAACCAUGGUCGUCCUUGCGAUUUACAAAUUCAAAAGUGCAAUCAGGACAUUAUUGAGUGUCACUUGUUAUGUAGCUCAAACCGUCGUUAUCGUCGCUGUGCUACAAAGUCAGCAGCGCAGACCAUAAUCAUCGUCUACUAGUAAUCAAUACGUCGCUCAAACUUUAGUUCUGGCCUACGAGCAAACGAAUCAGCAGCACAUACCAUGGUCUUCAUGGUCGGGUUACCACGUGAGCAGCACAAACCAGAGUCAUCAUCUCCGAAUUGCAAAUUCAGCAGCGCAAACCAUAAUCUUUAUCGACAUAUUACCGAAAUUCCGCAGAGUGAACCCUAGUUUUCAUCGCCGAGUAACCAAUUCAGCAAGGCAAUCUCUAGUCAUCAUCUACGAACUUCCGAUUCAGGCGCGGCAAACGUACUCUUUAUCGCCAAGUUACCAAGUCAGCAGCUCAAAAAAGCAUGGUCUUUAUUGCCGAGUAGCCAAGUCAGCAUCACAAACCAGCAAACGGUUUGUCGGAGAUGUGUCGGUUAUGAAGCCCUCUGCAGAUAUUAAUGAGGAGAGCAAGAACAGCCAUUCUGCGAUGAUAAUCGACGAUACCAGACUCAUACUUGUAAAAUGACGUCAAGCUUAAAUCUUGGAGGCAAUCCAUUAGAAAAUUAAAACAAGACCGUGAUUGAGGAUGUAGUACUGCAGCAAGGAUAACGUCCGCCGCACGUUUCACUGUACUGUCAUUUUCUCAAGCGUCUAUGGUGACGCGAUAUCCCCAUCGAUGAGAAGAAAAACAGCUGUGCUACACAUAUUAUUCAACUUUUCAAGAGAUAGUAAUUUCUUCCCCAGAUAGUUUGCUACUAAAUAAAUCGUGUGACAAUACCUACUUGAGAUGUUGCGUAUAUUGAAAUUCGCUUAUGUGCUAUUGUGCUAUUUUUUAAUAGUGUGCCGUCAUUGUUAACGGGUUGGCUAUGUUUUAUAGUGUGAUUUUGUAAUGUUUACUUUGUGAUGUAAAUGAAAGUAAGUACAUUUUUGUUUUGACGUUGCUAGUGUAUCGUAGUUUGACGUGUAAUACGUUGUAUCAUUUUGCGAGUUUUAGUGGUUUAUUGCAAAUGUAUGUUAAUCAAAGUCCAAAUAUAAUUUGUAUCUGUAAAUAUAAAGGUGCGAAUAGAUUUUUUUCACUUUGGUCAUUUAGAAUAAACAUAUAAAUUAAAUGGACAGAAGGUGUGUAAAUGUAUAUAGAAUGUAAAUACCCUAUUUAAAUUGUGCACUUUGAUGCAAUAGGCAUAAACUGUAUGAAUUGAUUAAAACAUUUUUUUUUAAAUUUCACAUUUUAGCUUGCUUUUGAAAUGUCGUUUUGCACGUGUAAAUAUGUCUAGUUAAAAUGAUUUACAUUAGUGAAUUCAAAUGUGUGUUUAUUUUUUUUCGCAUAGCCGUUAUGGUUAUUGUUUUGUUGUUGUCAUGCUAAACGUGACCAUGUACGUUAUGUAUUGCUGUAAAUUACACGAACGUCGUCCUUUGAAAAUAAUUAUGUAAACAAAUUGUGAAAAUAGAAUGCAAAUGCAUAAUUCGUCAUACAUAAAUAGUGGUGUUAGUCUAUUAAUUCCAACACACGAAC